rnacentral:rRNA from 1 species
GACGAACCGUGCAAACGUUGUUCGGAAUCACUGGGCUUAAAGGGCGCGUAGGCGGGCGGCCAAGUCCGGGGUGAAAUCUUUCGGCUCAACCGGAAAAUUGCCUUGGAUACCGGCUGUCUCGAGGGAGGUAGGGGCAUGUGGAACUUCCGGUGGAGCGGUGAAAUGCGUUGAUAUCGGAAGGAACGCCGGUGGCGAAAGCGACGUGCUGGACCUUCUCUGACGCUGAGGCGCGAAAGCUAGGGGAGCGAACGGG